CGGAAAGCGGCCCCCUGGACGAGACUGACGCUCAGGUGCGAAAGCGUGGGAGCAAACAGGAUUAGAUACCCUGGUAGUCCACGCUGUAAACGAUGUCGAUUGGAGGUUGUGCCCUUGAGGCGUGGCUUCCGGAGCUAACGCGUUAAAUCGACCGCCUGGGGAGUACGGCCGCAAGGUUAAAACUCAAAUGAAUUGACGGGGGCCCGCACAAGCGGUGGAGCAUGUGGUUUAAUUCGAUGCAACGCGAAGAACCUUACCUACUCUUGACAUCCAGAGAACUUAGCAGAGAUGCUUUGGUGCCUUCGGGAACUCUGAGACAGGUGCUGCAUGGCUGUCGUCAGCUCGUGUUGUGAAAUGUUGGGUUAAGUCCCGCAACGAGCGCAACCCUUAUCCUUUGUUGCCAGCGGUUCGGCCGGGAACUCAAAGGAGACUGCCAGUGAUAAACUGGAGGAAGGUGGGGAUGACGUCAAGUCAUCAUGGCCCUUACGAGUAGGGCUACACACGUGCUACAAUGGCGUAUACAAAGAGAAGCGACCUCGCGAGAGCAAGCGGACCUCAUAAAGUACGUCGUAGUCCGGAUUGGAGUCUGCAACUCGACUCCAUGAAGUCGGAAUCGCUAGUAAUCGUAGAUCAGAAUGCUACGGUGAAUACGUUCCCGGGCCUUGUACACACCGCCCGUCACACCAUGGGAGUGGGUUGCAAAAGAAGUAGGUAGCUUAACCUUCGGGAGGGCGCUUACCACUUUGUGAUUCAUGACUGGGGUGAAGUCGUAACAAGGUAACCA
rnacentral:rRNA from 1 species